CCUACGGGAGGCAGCAGUGAGGAAUAUUGGACAAUGGAUGGAAAUCUGAUCCAGCCAUGCCGCGUGAAGGACGACGGUCCUAUGGAUUGUAAACUUCUUUUGUAUGGGAGCAAUAAGGUCUACGUGUAGAUCGAUGAGAGUACCAUACGAAUAAGCAUCGGCUAACUCCGUGCCAGCAGCCGCGGUAAUA
rnacentral:rRNA from 1 species